rnacentral:rRNA from 1 species
GGCUCAGAUUGUACGCUGGCGGCAUGCUUUACACAUGCAAGUCGAACGGCAGCACGAAAGAGCUUGCUCUUUUGGUGGCGAGUGGCGAACGGGUGAGUAAUACAUUGGAACGUACCGAGUAAUGGGGGAUAACUGUCCGAAAGGAUGGCUAAUACCGCAUACGCUCUGAGGAGGAAAGCGGGGGACCUUCGGGCCUCGCGUUAUUCGAGCGGCCAAUGUCUGAUUAGCUAGUUGGUGGGGUAAAGGCCUACCAAGGCGACGAUCAGUAGUGGGUCUGAGAGGAUGAUCCGCCACACUGGGACUGAGACACGGCCCAGACUCCUACGGGAGGCAGCAGUGGGGAAUUUUGGACAAUGGGCGAAAGCCUGAUCCAGCCAUGCCGCGUGUCUGAAGAAGGCCUUCGGGUUGUAAAGGACUUUUGUCAGGGAAGAAAGGGUUUGGGUUAAUACCCUGAGCUUAUGAC